UCAAGAAGACGCCGCUUGGAAUUAGUGGCUGCAAGUAUAAUACAAUUUGUCAAUCGCUAGUACGCCAGUGAAAAUAAGGGCACGCGAAAUAUAUUUGUUAUUCUAAAGCUCACAUUAUGUACAAAGCACUUCUCAUUGUGACCAUCCCUCUCAUCUAUCUUUAUCUCGACGAUUGAUAGUGCGACGAACGUAUAACUAAUGGUCCAAAUAUUAUAAAAAUGGUGAAAAAAGCAAAAAAAAAAAAAAAA